UUUUUUUUUUUGCCCCCCAAAUCCCCCAGUACGUAAUUGUAUAUCCUAGGUGUAGGUCCUUCUAGUUGCUCUAGGUGGGAUGCCGCCACAGCAUGGCCCUACAAGUGGUG